rnacentral:misc_RNA from 1 species
AGCAGCCGCGGUAAUUCCAGCUCCAAUAGCGUAUAUUAAAGUUGUUGCAGUUAAAAAGCUCGUAGUUGAAUUUCGGGAUCAAUAUGUUGGUCGUGCCUUGGUACGUACUGGCGUCAUUGAUUUCUACCUUCUGAAGAACCUCGAUGUCAUUAAUUUGGUGUCUUGGGGAAUCAGGACUGUUACUUUGAAAAAAUUAGAGUGUUUAAAGCAAGCUCACGCUUGAAUACAUUAGCAUGGAAUAAUGAAAUAGGACGUUUGAUUCUAUUUUGUUGGUUUCUAGGAUCGACGUAAUGAUUAAUAGGGAUAGUUGGGGGGCAUUAGUAUUCAAUUGUCAGAGGUGAAAUUCUUGGAUUUAUUGAAGACUAACUACUGCGAAAGCAUUUGCCAAGGAUGUUUUCAUUAAUCAAGAACGAAAGUUAGGGGAUCGAAGACGAUCAGAUACCGUCGUAGUCUUAACCAUAAACUAUGCCGACUAGGGAUCGGAUGAUGUUAAUUUUUUAAUGACUCAUUCGGCGCCUUA